UGUGCGCUUGCGCCCCGAAAUCGCUUCCCUUCCCAGGCCCGGGUUCGUGUUAGCGAUCUCCCGUCUCUCCCGCCGCUUUGCUCUUGCUCCGCCUCGGAGCUAAACGUGCACCGAAGCGGCGGCGGGGCCGUGCCUUAGCCGGAACGCCUGGCGGAGGGCGCGGGCGGGCGGCUCGUGGGAGGCCGCGGCGCAGUUUAAGUGCGAGGCGCAAACUGAUGAAACUGAUGGUGGGAGUCGCUCUCUCCCCAGGGCGCCGUUGCGCCUGUCGGAAGCCCAGAGCGUGGGCGCGAAGACUGAGCAGCUCUGAGAAGUUUUGGCGACGAGCUGGAGUCUUGCUGGAGUAGAGGGAAUGUACGGAGCCCUCACUGGGGUUGUUUGGCAUCACCAAUCUCCGUGCUUCUGCGCUGGCACCGAGCGGCCACUGCCCGGUAGUUUUGGCCAAGGCUGCUCUUGUGGAAUUUUUUAGACUAAAGGUCCAAAGCAUCCCUCAGGUAUGUCCACAAUGGAGCAUCGAAGCCCCUGCGACCACUCUUGAGCACUGUGGAUUAUAAACUGCUUUCACAUCCGUCCUUUCAUCAGAUCCUCACAACAUUGUGCAACACGUAUGGCUACCACUAAUUCCUGGAAGGAUCUGAUGUGCUCGCUGAACCCUCCUAUGGUUGUAAGUGAACAGGGUUGUGUUCAUGGAGUUGAUACCACACAGGAUCUGGCAUUGGACACCCUGCAUGUAAGCCCAGCCUUGCUACAUAUUAAUGGAAUGACUUGGUCAAGCUACUUAACUUUCUUUAGCUUCAACUUCAUUUGCAAAAUGUGAAUGAAAACAACACCUUCCCAGAGAUCACACAGGAAGAUAAAGUGAGUUCCAGUCAGCUCUGUCAUCGUGCACAACUGGAAGUGCAGUGAUCUCCCGAGGAAGCCUCAGAGAGUUUCGGGGGACAAACUGUUGAAUUAAUUUCCGACAGACUGACAUAAAUCCCACUUGUCUCAUUUGUGCUGUAAAACUGCAAGACUGUACUUGCAUUCAUCUUCACUUCCACCCAAGGCGAGUGGGGCUCUGGUAGCGUCUCUGGGAUGCCAUGGGUGUGUCCGUGCAGUGGAAGGCCUGCCCUUGUCUGCCGUGGCCAGCGCCCGCCUGAUAAGGCCACGCCGGGCCUCUCAGCUCUCCGGGAAAUCAUCCCCAUGCAGUGUGAAAAGUUCACCGUCACCCAGUUUGUUUAGUGUGUUGUUUUACUGACUUUCAUAGCAAUGAAAAUCAAUUAAAGAAUAAAUAUUUAUUAAGUG